GAGUUUGAUCUUGGUCAGGAUGAACGCUGGCGGCGUGCCUAAUACAUGCAAGUCGAGCGAACGGACGAGAAGCUUGCUUCUCUGAUGUUAGCGGCGGACGGGUGAGUAACACGUGGAUAACCUACCUAUAAGACUGGGAUAACUUCGGGAAACCGGAGCUAAUACCGGGAUAAUAUUUUGAACCGCAUGGUUCAAAAGUGAAAGACGGUCUUGCUGUCACCUAUAGAUGGAUCCGCGCUGCAUUAGCUAGUUGGUAAGGUAACGGCUUACCAAGGCAACGAUGCAUAGCCGACCUGAGAGGGUGAUCGGCCACACUGGAACUGAGACACGGUCCAGACUCCUACGGGAGGCAGCAGUAGGGAAUCUUCCGCAAUGGGCAAAGCCUGACGGAGCAACGCCGCGUGAGUGAUGAAGGUCUUCGGAUCGUAAAAACUCUGUUAUUAGGGAAGAACAUAUGUGUAAGUAACUGUGCACAUCUUGACGGUACCUAAUCAGAAAGCCACGGCUAACUACGUG
rnacentral:rRNA from 1 species